AUUGAUGCCUUUGACAUGCCCUGUAGUGAGCAGGAUCUUGCUGCAUCUUCUGGCAUUGAUGCCCCUGUGGAAGGUGGCCCCAUCGCGGGACAUUGUUCUGCAUCCAGUGAGAAACAACAGCCUGCACUUGCAGCGCCCCCAGACUUCACAAGCUCAAGCCAGGCACCAGAAACACCCCCACACUUCACAAGCGCAAGCCAGGCACCAGCAGGCUUGUUUGAAGAAGUCAAU